CUACCUACGGGGCGCAGCAGUGGGGAAUAUUGCACAAUGGGGGGAACCCUGAUGCAGCAAUGCCGCGUGGGUGAAGAAGCACUCCGGUGCGUAAAGCCCUGUCAGCAGGGAAGAAAGUGACAGUACCUGACCAAGAAGCCCCGGCUAACUACGUGCCAGCAGCCGCGGUAAUACGUAGGGGGCAAGCGUUAUCCGGAUUUACUGGGUGUAAAGGGAGCGUAGGCGGCGAUGCAAGUCAGAAGUGAAAGCCCGGGGCUCAACUCCGGGACUGCUUUUGAAACUGUGUUGCUAGAUUGCAGGAGAGG
rnacentral:rRNA from 1 species